GCUGGGCGUGGUGGCUCACGCCUGUAAUCCCAGCACUUUGGGAGGCUGAGGUGGGCGGAUCACCUGAGGUCAGGAGUUCAAGACUAGCCUGGCCAACAUGGUGAAACCCCGUCUCCA
rnacentral:SRP_RNA from 1 species